AAGAAGAUUAUUGGAGUCUAGUUGGCGUACAAUGUUGUGUUAGUUUCAGGUGUACAGCAAAGUGAAACCGUUAUACAUACAUUCAUUCUUUCUCAGAGUCUUUCCCCAUAUAGGUUAUUAUAGAAUACUGAGUAGAUUUCCCUGUGCUAUACAGCAGAUCCUUGUUGGUUAUCUAUUUUAUACAUAGUGAUAGGUAUAUGUUAAUCCCAAACUCCCAAUUUCUCUCUCCUCUUACCCCCACAUUUCCCCUUUGGUAACCGUAAGUUUGAUUUUGAAAUCUUUGAGUCUGUUCCUGUUUUGUAAACAAGUUCUUUUGUAUCAUUUUUAUUAGAUUCCACAUAUAAGUGAUGUCAUAUGAUAUUUAUCUUCCUCUGUCUGACUUACUUCACUUUGUAUGAUAAUCUCUAGGUCCAUCCAUAUUGCUGCAAAUGGCAUUGUUUCAUGCUUUUUUUCCAUAAAGACAUUCCUGAUUGCAUGGUGGUUUUCACUUAAUUAAUCUUUCAGUUGUUUCAGGUUAGAUUUAUGUUGGCAAAUACAUAAGUCCCAAGAGGGCAGGGCUUUGUUUUAUGGCACAGAUAGCUGUGGGGUCUGGCACUAUGUCGAACAUAUGAUGGAUGUUUAUGACUUGCUUGAGUCACGAGUGGAAGGAAUGACCAAACUUGAUAAUUCCACCUUUUGAAACAAACGUUUAGUAGCAUCUAACCACAUGAGUCACCUCUGACUAUAAACUGGUACCCUCCUCAAAUUCAUCUUUCAAGGCACUUAAAAUCUCUAAAAUUACGUCCUUACUCUGUUCUCUCGUCAUUACACAUAUUCUUCCUGGGUCAUCUCAAUUCCUCUGAUGAUGGUAACCUUUUCUUAUGUGUGAGGACCUUCAAACCUCUAUUUCUGGCCCAGAAUUUUCACCCUGAGCUCCCACCUUCUGUAUCUAACUUCACCACCAUCUCUCUGUGUUCCUGCAGAACUUGUACGAAUCACAUCCACAAUUAAACACAGGAGGGUACCUGUGGGAAAGAAAAAAAUCGAAAUACAUUUAAAACCAUUUUCACGUCUAUGUCUCUGUACUAGACAAGGAUGUCCUUGAAGGAGGAAAUGAGUCUUGUUCACCUUUAAAUGCUCGGCACACAACCUAAGCUGGAACAAAGUAGGAAUUUAAUAAAUCCGAAUGAAUAAAUAAUGUACAAAAAUAUGAGCAGGUUCCUGCAGUAAAUGGCUAAAAAUCAACACGGUAUGUAGAAUGUUUACAGAACAUCCUCGCUGGGCCACGGUUCUACAUGGGCCACGCAUAGGCGUCUCUGGAUGGGCGCUUGCCAUCUCCCUCCGGCCGUGCGCACUCCAUACGCGCAGGUGCAGUUAUUGGAAUGAGGGCUCCCCUCCCUACCUGGUGUGGCGGGAGGAGGCAAACCUGACCUUGGUCUCCACCCCCAUGCGCUCCCCCACUGAAGAGCUGGGCCCUCUAAGUGCACCCCCAUCAGCCUCACAUGGGACUUCUGGCCUCUACUUUUCUCUCCUUUUCUAAAUGAAAAAACCAUUUCCGACACCAAGAACAGAAAGGGAGAUGCUUUUGAAGAAAGAACUUAAAAAAUGAACUAGGGAAAACCUAGUUUAACCAACUGAAGUAUUUUUCAAUUUAAUUUCACUGUAAAGACAUUGGUUUUAAAAGUUAAGUACUAAGAAAUAGGGAUAUAGGUGUGUUUGGAGGGUGGGCCGGUGGGGCAGAUUGAUGGGAAAGGUUUAAUGGGAAAUAUUUUAUCAAAACAUUGACUCAUCCUGUAUUCCAAGGUCCUCAAAUUGUAAUCUUUUCUUCUAAAUCCACAUUAAAUGUUGACAGCUGCUACAGGAAUGUGCUUCAAAUUCCAUCCUGAUAUUCUAAUUUUCUCACUUUCAAUCAUUUAUUUGUCUUCAGUUACUUUGUUUUGUUUUUUGGUUUUGGUCCCUGCACUGACAAAGAAGACAGGAAUGUUCACGCUAUUUUAUCAAAGGCUGGGUGGGGCGGCGGGGCUCAUCUGCCCAUUAGAAGUGCAACCAGGUGAUGGAGGCAGCACAGGAAGAUGGGGUCCUUGACCAAAUGGUCAAGGUUGAUUUCCUCUGGAUGGCCAAGAAGCCACUGAGAACCUAGGGUGCAGUGCGUAGGGAGUAGGGGGCAAGGAUGCUGGCUGGUAGGAGACCCAGUGAGGGGCAGGAGGGUGGGGGGGAGGCAGCCAGGAGCACUGCAGGGUGAGGGUGGGAGGGAUGUGGGGUGAUCCGCUGAGAGUUGGAGCUCAUAGGCCUUCUAUGUGCAGCCUGGUGGCAGGGUGGGUAACAGGCAGGGGCGGGCAUGCAGCCAAGGGCGGGCUCCUGUGCUACAGAGAAAGCUGGACCUCACAAGUCCCCUCAAAGUGCCAGGUCCAGGUUGGCUUUCAGACUUAUUCUAGAAAAAGUGGGAUCUCCUCUGUCUAUCAACACUCAGACCGUCACUUCUCCAAUUGUUCCUGACUGCGUCUGUUACACUUACGUUAAACAGAUGACUACACUAAGUGGCUUCAUUACAAUAAUUCUCUUUCUGAUCUUUGGCCUCAACUUUUCAUCGGCCGGUUAAGUUUGUUUCUUCUAGAAUACAACAAACAAGUCUCCAAAUGAUAUACAGUGGGGAUAUCAACCAAUCAACACCUGACAAUGUUGAAAAAAGCCAUCACAGCGCCCCGUGGGGCCACACCGCCCUCUUCAGGAAUGCCCUGAGAGCAGGCAGAAGGAACCCAGAGCCCUGCAACACCCACGUUCAGCAGGAAGCAGCCAGAAUGGUUGUCGCCCCUCUUCCCUUAUAAUCUGGGUUCCCAGAUGCCAUAGAGGGAAACAUGAGCAGGGUGUUCAAAGGGGCCAAAGACUUGCCCCAAGAGAAAGAAGGAAGAAUGUUAACUUCGAGUCCCCCUCAAAGAGACUCUACUCAAAGCCUCUGGCCAAGACAAGAAUUACCAGAUCCUUAUCAUUCCUUCUGGUGUCCUGCCUGUUGGAGCAGGAGAGAGCUCUGAACCACAGAGCAUUUCCAUUGAGCCCAGCGCCCAAAAGACCCAUCCGUCCUGGAGGAGGACGUCCCAAUGAGAAGCUCCUGGCGCAGCGGCUGUGAGGACCUGGCCAGCUUCCUCCCGGGGGGUGAUACCCAGCUCCAGCAUCCCCUCCCCUCCCCACCUCGCUUAAGAGCCUAGCAGGCUCGCCUCUGUUCCCCCCAGGGUGCCGGAGGGAGGUGAAGAGGGUGGAAGAGCCAGGGACAAAUGAUGAAGGUAAAUGAGUGUUGGAAAGCGGGGAAAGUCCCCCCGGGGUGCGGGGGGGGGGGAUGAAAGAGGUACCCCCCCUCCCUGCCAAGGAUGAUACCAGAGAGGGUAGGCCUUUCUUCUGGGUCACCUCCCCUUCAAAGGAUUCAUUCCGCCCUUCCCGACCUCGUCCCUCCCUCUCCAACCCUCCAGCCCAUUACCUCCUGGCUCUGAAUCUCUUUUAACUCUAUUUACAAGUGUAUUUACAUAUUUUUAAGGGGACAGGCGAGAAGAGAAGGGGUCCUGAGUGGCCUGAAAUGGAAACUGCAGCAGGGCCCUGGCCCGGAUCUCUCCUCUACAUCUUAUCCUUAGUUCCUCAACGUGAACUCCCAGGGCAAGUGAACAAUCUUUAUCAUUCCUACUGAGUUAGGUACUACUUGGCAGAGUAAAUUUUGUCCUUUUUGGAAUGUACCGUCUCUAUCAUACUCAAACGUUUAAAGAAUUGAUUUCAAUGGUAGAGUCUGUAAAGCAACCCACAGGAAGUGAGGAACCUAGGCCUGGCUUCCUGUAGGCAGCAGAAAGUGGAGUCAGAACCCUGGCCCCAGUUCCUGAGCUCUGCAUAGACUGCUCACAUGAUUUAAUCUCUUAGCCAAGUCCCUUAUCCCCCAAAAUAAUAAUAGCAUUGUGUAGCUUAGGCUUCUUCAAAGAGUUCAGUGAAAAGGCACAUUUCCCACGUUCACCAUGGAAUUUAAUACUUAUCAGGGUUUGUUCCCUCCAACCCCAAGGCUCUCUGUGGGAUCUUGGUGGAUGGAUCACCCUUUCUAAGGAUCCUUUAGACAGCAGGGAUUCUCAAACAUCCACACUCCUUAAACUCUUCUGGAAUCCAUGCAGCUGGUCCCACACUUUUACCAUCUGAAAAAUGAAUGAAACUGUUUCCAACUUAAAAAGGUGUCAGCCUGCUUCCAGAACGCUGAGAUGUGAUGAGAAGGAAAUCCUUGCUGCAACUCUGAGAGCCUGGGUUGCAUUAACCCUUGGUCAUCCCAUGCUCCAGAGCAGGGCACUGCCUGCUUCAGUCUGUCCAGAGGGAGGGGAAGCCCUGACACGUUUUGGUCACUUCAGUUGUUCUUGUUCAUCUGAUGGGAACGUUGCAUUAACACAUCCAAAGGUCUGUGAGAGGAUAAGCCAGCUGGCCUCUCUGCUGCCAGGGGUUGUCUCCUCCUGGGCUUGUCUGAGCCCUUCCUAGGGUCACAGAGACAGGGCAUAGCAAUGCACAAGGAGAAUGUGGGUCACCUCCCCAGGGAUCUGCUCCUCUGGAUGCCCUCGGGAGGCCCUUCUGCUGCCCCGAGGGUGCGCUUAUCUCUGCUGUCACCUUCGUUGUAUUCAUACCUUGGGAGAUUAGCGGGUGCUGACAUCAGCAGGUCCACUGUCAACCCUAGUGAAGUGGCCUGGUGACCCUUCUCAUCCAGCGCCACUGGACUGGGGAGACAUGUUUACUAAACUUGGAAAUUCGGGCAGCAUACUCGUGUUCAUUCCACUGAUCUGAAAAUAAAUUUUAAGAGUUUUUAGGUCUUCGAAUUG
rnacentral:lncRNA from 1 species